AUGGCUGCUGUGGCAAACGCACCUAGCAUGCACCCCGAGCUGCUGGAGGCGGCAUGCCAUGGCAGCUGCAUGGAACUGACGAACCUUCUGAACGGAGGAGCGGCUGACGUCCCUAUUGAGGUCGUCGUCGAUGUCGACCGCCCGGCGCGCCCACCAGCGUCGUCCUUGCUCCUGGAAGGGGUCACCCCAGACGGGGACUCCGCACUCCACAUCGUAGCAGCCUACGGGUACCUGAAGAAAGCCAGGGCAGUCUAGGACAAGGCGCCGCACCUCCUGGGCGCGCGCAACGGCGGCGGCGGCACGCCGUUGCACCGCGCCGCCAGGGCCGGCCACGCCGCAAUGGCCGCCCUCCUCGUUGAGCUGGCGAGAGGGGAAGAAGUCGCCGGCGAAGACGGGAGGGUGGAGACGCUGGUGAGGAUGCAGAACGGGCUCGGGGAGACGGCCCUGCAUGAGGCGAUCCGCGCUGGUCAGAUGCCCACGGUGGCUGAGCUGAUGGCAGCGGACCCCUUCCUCGCUCGCGUCCCGGACGACGGAACCUCGCCAUUGUUCCUCGCCGUCUCUCUGCGACAUGAGGAAAUCGCGCGGGAGCUCCACGAGAGAGACAAGUUGUCAUACUCCGGGCCAGAUGGACAGAAUGCGCUUCAUGCUGCAGUUCUUCGAAGCAGAGAUAUGACAGAAUUGCUACUGAACUGGAACAAGGAACUCACUAAAAAGUGAGACCAACUUGGAAACACACCUCUACACUUUGCGGUAUCAUUAGAAACAGGGACACGUGGUAUGCUUCCCCAAUAUGCCGUGCCAGUGGUAAAUGGAACUAGCAUUACAAGUUUUCUGAACGUGGUGGAAACACCAAUGGACCUUACCAUGCUAAUAUUGGAGGCGGAUGCAUAUUCAGCAUAUCAACCGGACGAACAAGGGUCAUUCCCCAUACAUGUCGCUGCUUUAGCGGGGAGAUUUUCAUCUGUCAUCAUCUUACUUUUAAAGUGGCCAGGUUGCGCCAGCUUACGUGACGCCCGUGGGAGAACUUUUCUCCAUGUUGCUGUCAUGAAGAAAAGAUAUGAUAUAGUUCGGUAUGCCUGCCAAACACCCAUGUUUUCGUCAAUUAUGAACAAGCAAGAUAAUGAAGGAAACACUGCACUACAUCUAGCUGUGGAGAUUGGGGACUGGUGGAGUUUCACUUGUCUCUUCGCAAACAAAGAAGUAGAUUUGAAUCUACCAAACAACAAGCAACAUACCCCGCGAGAGAUUUCAGUUAGCAGUACUCCCACCGGGUUGUACUGCCUGCUGCACUCGUGGAUUUUGAUACAACAAGCUCUAAUAUCUGCCGAUGCUACACUUCAUAUUUGUCGGCGGGAUAUCAUGAAAAAAGGACCUAGUACCCAAUCUGACGCUAAGAUUGAUGCGGUAAUAUCAAACUCAACGCAAUUUCUCAGCCUUGGCUUAGUAUUAAUUACAACAAUGGCUUUUGGUGCUGCUUUCGCCUUACCUGGGGGUUACAGAGCAGAUGACCACCUUAAGGGAGGAACACCAACUCUGUCUACCGAAAAAGUAUUCCAAGGAUUCUUGAUGGCGAAUGCACUGGCAUUUUGCUCGUCUUUGGCCGUCCUAAGCCUUGUGUUUGCAGGAACACCUACAGUUGAAAUACCCAUGCGCUACAUGCACUACAAUAUAUCCAUAUGGUUAUCUUUCAAUGGAGUCUUAUCUUUGGGGACGGCCUUCGUAUUGGCUAUAUACAUCAUGAUCACCCCAGUUAUUUCUGGAACUGCUAUUAUGGUCAUGGUGGUGUUUUCUUCAUUAGAAAUCCUCUACAUGCCAUCAUUAGUUGAGAAGCUUGUUAAAUUCAUGAUAGUGGUAUGUGGUAGAGUAGGAAUAUUGCCAGUAAUGCUAAGAUCGGAGAUGCCCAAGGUAAUGUUGCUUACAAUUUGGCCCCUCAUGGUAAUCUUUGGAUGGCAAGAAUACGCAUGGCGACACAUGUGGCAUUAUGUACCUGUAGCAGAGAAACUGGUCACUUGA
rnacentral:rRNA from 1 species